rnacentral:rRNA from 1 species
CCUACGGGAGGCAGCAGUGAGGAAUAUUGGUCAAUGGACGAGAGUCUGAACCAGCCAAGUAGCGUGAAGGAUGACUGCCCUAUGGGUUGUAAACUUCUUUUAUAAAGGAAUAAAACGAGGCACGUGUGCCUUUUUGCAUGUACUUUAUGAAUAAGGAUCGGCUAACUCCGUGCCAGCAGCCGCGGUAAUACGGAGGAUCCGAGCGUUAUCCGGAUUUAUUGGGUUUAAAGGGAGCGUAGAUGGGUUGUUAAGUCAGUUGUGAAAGUUUGCGGCUCAACCGUAAAAUUGCAAUUGAUACUGGCAGUCGUGAGUACAGUUGAGGUAGGCGGAAUUCGUGGUGUAGCGGUGAAAUGCUUAGAUAUCACGAAGAACCCCGAGUGCGAAGGCAGCUUACUAAACUGUGACUGACAUUGAUGCUCGAAAGUGUGGGUAUCAAACAGGAUUAGAUACCCCGGUAGUC